rnacentral:rRNA from 1 species
AGUGAACGCUGGCGGUAGGCCUAACACAUGCAAGUCGAACGGCAGCACAGUAAGAGCUUGCUCUUACGGGUGGCGAGUGGCGGACGGGUGAGGAAUACAUCGGAAUCUACUUUUUCGUGGGGGAUAACGUAGGGAAACUUACGCUAAUACCGCAUACGACCUACGGGUGAAAGCAGGGGAUCUUCUGACCUUGCGCGAUUGAAUGAGCCGAUGUCGGAUUAGCUAGUUGGCGGGGUAAAGGCCCACCAAGGCGACGAUCCGUAGCUGGUCUGAGAGGAUGAUCAGCCACACUGGAACUGAGACACGGUCCAGACUCCUACGGGAGGCAGCAGUGGGGAAUAUUGGACAAUGGGCGCAAGCCUGAUCCAGCCAUACCGCGUGGGUGAAGAAGGCCUUCGGGUUGUAAAGCCCUUUUGUUGGGUAAGAAAAGCAGCAGGUUAAUACCCCGCUGUUCUGACGGUACCCAAAGAAUAAGCACCGGCUAACUUCGUG